GUACCUAUAUGGUUCGGCAGCACAUAUACUAAAAUUGGAAUGAUACAGAGAUUUGCAUGGCCCCUUCACAAGGAUGACUCACAAAUUCCUGAAGUGUUCCAUAUUUUU